CUCCCCCGCCGCUAACGCUACUUAUCCCGGGAAAGCUCGAGCGGGCCCCGGGAGCGAACCCACAGACAAAAAGUGAAACUUCGGCAGCAGGCCGGGAGUGGCUGCUGACGACGGAUUGGAAAGCUGAGCUUGAGCAAAAGACAUCCUGCCAUGGAACACCCCACCCCCACCCCUCCACCCUAAGAGCCCUCGUCGGAGCCCCGCCCAAAACUCCAGCAGGACUCAAAAGUCCGGGAUGGUAGAGAGUAACUUCAGUUCACUUCGCACAGGAGAGCUCCGAAGCUGGGACCUGACCCAGUCCUACCCUGUGGAGAGGAGCCUGUAUUCUACUCUGAGCUGGGUUUCCGCCUCCAGGCACGACCCAGGCUCUAGCUGUAAGCUCAGACCCAAGUUAGACCUAGGCAGAUGACUUGACCACCCACUGCAGUGACUAACCCCAGUUCCUGGAAGGUUGUGGUUGACAAGCCUUGAGAAACAAUGGCAAUCGAGCGCUUCAGGGCAACUUCCUGUCCUUUGUUCAAAGACAAGAACCUUUGGAGUUUAACUUUUGCUUCCCAACCCUGCCCUGCCAGGAAAACCAACCAGAAAGCUUGCUCUGUUCUUACAGCUUACAAAAAGAAAAUACACGAACUGGGUGAACUGGUUUGAAUAAAGACAAGCCUGUUCUUGGAAGGUUGGGUUUGGGUAUUUUGUCUUUGAUAUUUGUAAAAGUGAGCAACGAUGAGAACCCCAUUUCCUAGGUUAAGAUUCGGGCUAGGAGACACUGGAAGCCCUCUGGCCCUCAGUAGUGAAUGCUUUUCGUCCCAGCACAAAGGAGGUUUACAUAGACCCUGUCACAAACUUAAAAAAAAAAAAAAAAAAAAGAUUUGGAGGUGGGUGGGUGGGUAUUUUCUAUCCUGUAUCCUGUACCUUACCCCACUCUCCCAAACAACCUCAACCCAUGCUAAUAACACAACCACCCAUUCUGGUCUUUGGGUGGGUUGCGUAGAAUCUAAGGAAAAUACGGUACCCUGACCUGCACAGCACAGCUGUCUGAAAACACUUUGACCUUCCUACUCUCAAGCCACCUUCCACCACCCCGAGGGCCUUUCACCUUCUGCAGCCUAACUCAGUCAUGCAGACAGAAAAAAGAACACCAGGAACUACAGGUGCAGGGACGCUCCAACGUGCCUCUUCUCCGGUUAUAUUUUGAUGAAUCUUUUUGACUAAGUGUCAAAGUACAUACUCCUGUACUUAACACGUAUUGAACAUUUCUCCGGCAGUCUUCAAAUUCAAACACUUCUGGGGCCAGACUGCUUAACCCAUUUGUCCUCCCAAGUUUCCCAGCUACACACACUCGAAAGUAGGAGCACAGCAGGAGAGUUCAAGAGUACAGUGCGUUCCACGGGAAACAGGCUUGUAGGGGUCCGACUUUUUAAGAGAUCACAGUGUGUUCACUCUGCCCUAAGCAUUUCAGCCAAUGCGUGCCCUGUGUGCUACUGCAAUGGAAGUCAUCCAUUGUUCGUUUAGGGAUAACAGAACUUGACCAGCAUCCCUUGCCUGCUCUACUCCCUUCUCAGUAACCCACUUAUAAAGAAUAAUAGAGUUCUAAUGAGGAUUAAUAAAAUUUAAUAAGG
rnacentral:lncRNA from 1 species